rnacentral:tRNA from 1 species
GCUGUAGCUCAGUGGUAAAGCACUUGCCUAGCAUUCUCGAGGCUCUGGGCUUGAUCCCCAGCACUGCA